rnacentral:rRNA from 1 species
AUGAACGCUAGCUACAGGCUUAACACAUGCAAGUCGAGGGGCAGCAUGGUCUUAGCUUGCUAAGACUGAUGGCGACCGGCGCACGGGUGAGUAACACGUAUCCAACCUGCCGUCUACUCUUGGACAGCCUUCUGAAAGGAAGAUUAAUACAAGAUGGCAUCAUGAGUCCGCAUGUUCACAUGAUUAAAGGUAUUCCGGUAGACGAUGGGGAUGCGUUCCAUUAGAUAGUAGGCGGGGUAACGGCCCACCUAGUCUUCGAUGGAUAGGGGUUCUGAGAGGAAGGUCCCCCACAUUGGAACUGAGACACGGUCCAAACUCCUACGGGAGGCAGCAGUGAGGAAUAUUGGUCAAUGGGCGAGAGCCUGAACCAGCCAAGUAGCGUGAAGGAUGACUGCCCUAUGGGUUGUAAACUUCUUUUAUAAAGGAAUAAAGUCGGGUAUGGAUACCCGUUUGCAUGUACUUUAUGAAUAAGGAUCGGCUAACUCCGUGCCAGCAGCCGCGGUAAUACGGAGGAUCCGAGCGUUAUCCGGAUUUAUUGGGUUUAAAGGGAGCGUAGAUGGAUGUUUAAGUCAGUUGUGAAAGUUUGCGGCUCAACCGUAAAAUUGCAGUUGAUACUGGAUAUCUUGAGUGCAGUUGAGGCAGGCGGAAUUCGUGGUGUAGCGGUGAAAUGCUUAGAUAUCACGAAGAACUCCGAUUGCGAAGGCAGCCUGCUAAGCUGCAACUGACAUUGAGGCUCGAAAGUGUGGGUAUCAAACAGGAUUAGAUACCCUGGUAGUCCACACGGUAAACGAUGAAUACUCGCUGUUUGCGAUAUACUGCAAGCGGCCAAGCGAAAGCGUUAAGUAUUCCACCUGGGGAGUACGCCGGCAACGGUGAAACUCAAAGGAAUUGACGGGGGCCCGCACAAGCGGAGGAACAUGUGGUUUAAUUCGAUGAUACGCGAGGAACCUUACCCGGGCUUAAAUUGCAGAUGAAUUACGGUGAAAGCCGUAAGCCGCAAGGCAUCUGUGAAGGUGCUGCAUGGUUGUCGUCAGCUCGUGCCGUGAGGUGUCGGCUUAAGUGCCAUAACGAGCGCAACCCUUGUUGUCAGUUACUAACAGGUUCCGCUGAGGACUCUGACAAGACUGCCAUCGUAAGAUGUGAGGAAGGUGGGGAUGACGUCAAAUCAGCACGGCCCUUACGUCCGGGGCUACACACGUGUUACAAUGGGGGGUACAGAAGGCCGCUACCACGCGAGUGGAUGCCAAUCCCCAAAACCUCUCUCAGUUCGGACUGGAGUCUGCAACCCGACUCCACGAAGCUGGAUUCGCUAGUAAUCGCGCAUCAGCCACGGCGCGGUGAAUACGUUCCCGGGCCUUGUACACACCGCCCGUCAAGCCAUGGGAGCCGGGGGUACCUGAAGUGCGUAACCGCGAGGAGCGCCCUAGGGUAAAACUGGUGACUGGGGCU